GCAAAUUUGACGCUUGCAUUAUGAAUGGAAGCUAUUCGGCCAUGGAACAGAUAAGAUCAGUGGUUCUCAUUCUUGCUGACGGAUUGAGCAGGCGCAUCGUGACCUCAGUGACUGGAGGGAAGGUGACUGGUAUCCUGAGAAAGCAUCCUCAUCUCUGUCUGUGUGAGUUAUGCUUUUGACAAAUGUGACCAUAUCAGAUCCAGCUACAACCAGACAAAAGGUUACCAAUUCCAUGAAUAUUGUCAAGGAUUUCAUAUGAUUAAG
rnacentral:misc_RNA from 1 species